AGAAACUUACGCGUAAACUACAGUAUGGAAAAAAAACCCAUUAGGCCAUGAAGCACAAUAGUUGAUUAAGCAUUUCUGUUUUGGCAAUUCACUUCUCUUGAGCUAUCCUGUAUUACGAUCUCAAUUUGUUGCGAAAGUGAGAGAGAGAGAGAGAGAGAGAGAGAGAGAGGAUAUGGCUGACAUACUUCUUUCUGCCCUGGUGAGCUCUAUGGUGGGAAACUUGAAUACUUCAGCACUUCAAGAAUUCGGAGUUGCUUGGGGCCUAAGAACUGAGCUUGAAAAUCUUGGAAGCACGCUUUCUACCAUCCAAGAACAGUGAGGCUGUCAGGAAUUGGCUGAGAAAGCUCAAAGAUGGAGCUUAUGAUGCAGAUGAUGUCUUGGACGAGUUUGCAACUGAAGCUCUAAGACGAAAGGUGGAGAGAGAGAAUGGUGUGAAAAGCCAAUAAACCUGGUGGCUGAGGUUCAAGUCUACAAGGCACUUGGAAUCGCCAAAGACAGUUCAAAUCUCCCAAGAGCUAAAUUUAGCCUUUGCUUGCUAUCAGCCUUCAGGAGCCGAAAAGACUAAAUUGAGUCGCUGAGGUUUGAGUCUACAGGAUUUGUGCCCUCCCUUGCUUUUGUGUUUACUCUAGACCACCCCCAAUGGUUUCUUGUCUCUAGAAGUGGUGAUUCAACAGUUUGGUUGUGGGAUAUUUCCUCUGGAUCUCUCCUUGAUACUUGUGAAGUUGGAGCAAAGGCAAGGUUUUAGAGUCUAAUGGAAGAGGAGAAGAGUACAAUGUGACUGUUACUGAUCUAUCCACCUUCCCAGAUGGUACACUGAUUACAGUGGCCAUUGAAAGGCAAGUCAUUAAGCCCUCCUUGUAGUAUCCUAUGUUCAUGGUGGAUUCUUUUUUUGGUUUGUGGCCUAAGUACUUAUUAACAUUUUUUGGA